rnacentral:rRNA from 1 species
GACGAACGCUGGCGGCGUGCUUAACACAUGCAAGUGGAGCGACGAACCAGGGCUUGCCCUGGGGCAAAGCCGCGAACGGGUGAGUAACACGUGGGUAACCUGCCCCGAUGACCGGGACAACCCGUCGAAAGACGGGCUAAUACCGGAUGAACUUCUCUCACAUGAGUGAGACUUGAAAAGGAAGCUUCGGCCUCCGCAUCGGGAUGGGCCCGCGGCGCAUUAGCUUGUUGGUGGGGUAACGGCCUACCAAGGCGACGAUGCGUAGCUGGUCUGAGAGGACGAGCAGCCACACUGGGACUGGGACACGGCCCAGACUCCGACGGGAGGCAGCAGUGGGGAAUCUUGCGCAAUGCGCGAAAGCGUGACGCAGCAACGCCGCGUGCGGGAAGACGGCCUUCGGGUUGUAAACCGCUUUCAGUUGGGACGAAGCUUCGGCCGUUAAUAGCGGUCUGAAGUGACGGUACCUUCACAAGAAGCCCCGGCUAACUACGUGCCAGCCGCCGCCGUAAGAC